rnacentral:rRNA from 1 species
CCUACGGGUGGCAGCAGUGGGGAAUUUUGCGCAAUGGGGGCAACCCUGACGCAGCAACGCCGCGUGAGUGAUGAAGGCCUUCGGGUCGUAAAGCUCUGUCAGAGGGGAAGAAAUGCAGGUGGUGAACAACCAUUCUGUUUGACGGUACCCUCAAAGGAAGCACCGGCUAACUCCGUGCCAGCAGCCGCGGUAAUACGGAGGGUGCGAGCGUUGUUCGGAAUUAUUGGGCGUAAAGCGCGUGUAGGCGGUUUGUUAAGUCUGAGGUAAAAGCCCCGGGCUCAACCGGGGAAGGGCAUUGGAAACUGGCAGACUUGAGGACGGGAGAGGAGAGUGGAAUUCCCAGGGUAGGGGGAAAAUCCGUAGAUAUUGGGAGGAACACCGGGGGCGAAGGCGGCUCUCGGGACCGACACUGACGCUGAGGCGCGAAAGCGGGGGGAGCAAACGGGAUUAGAUCCCC